CACGUAGGGACCAAGCGUUGUCCGGAUUCAUUGGGCGUAAAGAGCUCGUAGGCGGUUCGAUAAGUCGGGUGUGAAACCUCCAGGCUCAACCUGGAGACGCCACCCGAUACUGUCGUGACUAGAGUCCAGUAGGGGAGCGUGGAAUUCCUGGUGUAGCGGUGAAAUUGCGCAGAUAUCAGGAGGAACACCAGCGGCGAAGGCGGCGCUCUGGGCUGGAACUGACGCUGAGGGAGCGAAAAGCGUGGGGAGCGAACAGG
rnacentral:rRNA from 1 species